rnacentral:rRNA from 1 species
ACGAACGCUGGCGGCGUGCUUAACACAUGCAAGUCGAACGAUGAAGCGGUGCUUGCACCGUGGAUUAGUGGCGAACGGGUGAGUAAUACGUGAGUGACCUACCUUUGACUCUGUGAUAAGCCUGGGAAACUGGGUCUAAUACCGGAUACGACCAAUCUCUGCAUGGGGUGUUGGUGGAAAGCGUUAUGGAGUGGUUUUAGAUGGGCUCACGGCCUAUCAGCUUGUUGGUGAGGUAAUGGCUUACCAAGGCGACGACGGGUAGCCGGCCUGAGAGGGUGACCGGCCACACUGGGACUGAGACACGGCCCAGACUCCUACGGGAGGCAGCAGUGGGGAAUAUUGCACAAUGGGCGCAAGCCUGAUGCAGCGACGCCGCGUGAGGGAUGACGGCCUUCGGGUUGUAAACCUCUGUUAGCAUCGAAGAAGCGAAAGUGACGGUAGGUGCAGAGAAAGCGCCGGCUAACUACGUG